rnacentral:rRNA from 1 species
ACUAUUACGAGGUUUGAAAGGGGUCCGUAGCUGGUCUCUUCACGGGAGGCAUGUGCACGCCCUGCUCAUCCACUCUCAACCUCUGUGCACUUACAUGUAGGUCGGUGAAAGGCGAGCAUUUCAUUUCGGUGAAGUGUACGCUGGAAGCCUUCCUAUGUAUUCACUACAAACGCUUCAGUUAUAGAAUGUACAUUUUGCGUAUAACGCAUUUAUAUACAACUUUCAGCAACGGAUCUCUUGGCUCUCGCAUCGAUGAAGAACGCAGCGAAAUGCGAUAAGUAAUGUGAAUUGCAGAAUUCAGUGAAUCAUCGAAUCUUUGAACGCACCUUGCGCUCCCUGGUAUUCCGGGGAGCACGCCCGUUUGAGUGUCAUGGUAUUCUCAACCUUCCUAACUUUUAAUGUAAUCGAAGGCUUGGACUUGGAGAGUCGUGCUGGCUCUCGUAGUACGGCUCCUACUGAAAUGCAUUAGCGUGAACGUUUACGGAUCGCUAUCAGGUGUGAUAAUUAUCUGCGCUGUUAGUGUUCGAAGUAUGUAAUCAGGUAGUCGCGCUUCUAGCCGUCUCUUGACUGAGCACAACUUUCAUUGACAUCUGGCCUCAAAUCGGGCGGGACUACCCGCUGAACUUUAGGCA